rnacentral:rRNA from 1 species
GGACAGUGCCUGGUGGGUAGUUUGACUGGGGCGGUCUCCUCCCAAAGCGUAACGGAGGAGCACGAAGGUGGGCUAAUCACGGUUGGACAUCGUGAGGUUAGUGCAAUGGCAUAAGCCCGCUUGACUGCGAGAAUGACAAUUCGAGCAGGUGCGAAAGCAGGUCAUAGUGAUCCGGUGGUUCUGAAUGGAAGGGCCAUCGCUCAACGGAUAAAAGGUACUCCGGGGAUAACAGGCUGAUACCGCCCAAGAGUUCAUAUCGACGGCGGUGUUUGGCACCUCGAUGUCGGCUCAUCACAUCCUGGGGCUGAAGUCGGUCCCAAGGGUAUGGCUGUUCGCCAUUUAAAGUGGUACGCGAGCUGGGUUUAGAACGUCGUGAGACAGUUCGGUCCCUAUCUGCCGUGGGCGUUGGAGAAUUGAAAGGGGCUGCUCCUAGUACGAGAGGACCGGAGUGGACGAACCUCUGGUGUUCGGGUUGUGUCGCCAGACGCAUUGCCCGGUAGCUAAGUUCGGGAUCGAUAACCGCUGAAAGCAUCUAAGCGGGAAGCGAGCCUUGAGAUGAGUUCUCCCUGAUACUUUAAGUAUCCUAAAGGGUUGUCGUAGACUACGACGUUGAUAGGCAGGGUGUGUAAGCGUUGUGAGGCGUUGAGCUAACCUGUACUAAUUGCCCGUGAGGCUUAACCAUACAACACCCAAGGGGUUU